UCCGUAGGUGAACCUGCGGAAGGAUCAUUAGUGAAUUACAAUAGAGUGCGCGCAAGCGGCUCGUAAACACUAUUCAAACACUGUGAACUUGUCUUUAACUUUCAUUGUGGGAAAGCAGGCUUAACUGACUGCGGAACCCUUUGAAUUUUAUAACCCUAGUCUUUAAAACUAGUCUUGUGGAAUGUAGUUGAAAUUGAUUAAACGAAAGUAUAACUUUCAGCAACGGAUUUCUUGGCUCUCGCAUCGAUGAAGAACGCAGCGAAAUGCGAUACGUAAUGUGAAUUGCAGAACUCAGUGAAUCAUCGAAUCUUUGAACGCACCUUGCGCCUUCUAGUUAUUCUGGAAAGCAUGCUUGUUUGAGUGUCGCGAACUUCUCAACCCCGCCUUUUGUAAUGAGAGGUAGCCUGGGCUUGAAUCAUGGUCUUUUGCCGUUUAUUCGGCUAGACUGAAAUGCAGUAAGCUGCAUGCACGAUUGUAACGGCUUGACCUGAUGUUGUAGUAUCUAUAAACUCAUCGGGGAUCGUUAUUGACAGUUGCAAAGAGCUUUAAACUUUGAAUUUUUAAUAGUACAUAAUGACCUCAAAUCAAGUAGGACUACCCGCUGAACUUAAGCAUAUCAAUAAGCGGAGGA
rnacentral:rRNA from 1 species